CUGCUGCCUCCCGUAGGAGCCUGGGCCGUGUCUCAGUCCCAGUGUGGCCGUCCGCCCUCUCAGGCCGGCUACUGAUCGUCGCUUUGGUAGGCCGUUACCCUGCCAACUGGCUAAUCAGACGCGGGCCCAUCCUGUACCACCGGAGUUUUCAGGGAAAAGCCAUGCGGCUUCCCCCGUUAUGCGGUAUUAGCACCUAUUUCUAAGUGUUAUCCCCCUGUACAGGCCAGGUUGCCCACGCGUUACUCACCCGUCCGCCACUCA
rnacentral:rRNA from 1 species